rnacentral:rRNA from 1 species
CCGGAUUCAUUGGGUUUAAAGGGUGCGUAGGCGGCUUUUUAAGUCAGUGGUGAAAUCCUGCAGCUUAACUGUACAAUUGCCAUUGAUACUGAAGAGCUUGAAUAUAGUUGAGGUAGGCGGAAUGUGCAGUGUAGCGGUGAAAUGCUUAUAUAUUGCACAGAACACCGAUUGCGAAGGCAGCUUACUAAAUUAUUAUUGACGCUGAGGGACGAAAGCGUGGGGAUCGAACAGGAUUAGAUACCCUGGUAGUCCACGCCGUAAACUAUGUUCACUCGCUGUUUGCGAUAUACCGUAAGCGGCCAAGCGAAAGCAUUAAGUGAACCACCUGGGGAGUACGUCGGCAACGGUGAAACUCAAAGGAAUUGACGGGGGCCCGCACAAGCGGAGGAACAUGUGGUUUAAUUCGAUGAUACGCGAGGAACCUUACCUGGGCUUAAAUGUAGAUUGCAUGUGGUGGAAACACCCUUCCCUUCGGGGCUAUCUACAAGGUGCUGCAUGGUUGUCGUCAGCUCGUGCCGUGAGGUGUCGGGUUAAGUCCCAUAACGAGCGCAACCCCUAUCGUUAGUUGCCAUCAGGUCAUGCUGGGGACUCUAGCGAGACUGCCACCGUAAGGUGAGAGGAAGGUGGGGAUGACGUCAAAUCAGCACGGCCCUUAUGUCCAGGGCUACACACGUGUUACAAUGGGCAGGUACAAAGGGCAGCUACACCGCGAGGUGAUGCUAAUCUCUAAAGCCUGUCCCAGUUCGGAUUGGAGUCUGAAACCCGGACUCCAUGAAGGUGGGAUUCGCUAGUAAUCGCGCAUCAGC